rnacentral:tRNA from 1 species
GCGAAAGUAGUUUAAUAGGUAGAACAUAACCUUGCCAAGGUUAAGGUUACGGGUUCGAUUCCCGUCUUUCGCU